UACGUAGGGGGGCAAGCGUUGUCCGGAUUUAUUGGGCGUAAAGAGCGUGUAGGCGGCCAGGUAGGUCUGCUGUGAAAACUCGAGGCUCAACCUCGAGAUGUCGGCGGAAACCGUCUGGCUAGAGUCCGGAAGAGGAGAGUGGAAUUCCUGGUGUAGCGGUGAAAUGCGCAGAUAUCAGGAAGAACACCCGGUGGCGAAGGCGGCGUCCUCGU
rnacentral:rRNA from 1 species